rnacentral:lncRNA from 1 species
GGAUAAGCUAUUUGGUGAUAGACACAGUACCUGGACCGGGCAGAGGAGUGGAAUCCAAAGAUAAAGUUAGGAGAACGUACUUCAAGGGGAAAUUUGUCCUUUCACUUGUGGUAUCAUAGUCUUUCAUGGAUCCCAUGCUGUUGUCUGUUUAUUUCUCCUUAAACAAGGAAAAAUAUACCCAGACCCAGUUUUCAUCAACAGACCAGCCCAUGGCAACCAUCACUCUACUUUCUGUCUCUAUGAAUUUGAAUACUCUGGGUAACCUCAUUCUGGGAUGAUAUGAAACCUUGCAGACGACAUGCAUGGAUCAACUCAUGAGACAGUAAAUCACUCAAAAUCUUACUACAAAAGACAACGUCCUUAUUUGCUUUUACAGAAAAAGGUAAAUCUUCCUUGACAUAUUCGGCAGAAUCUAUGAAGAAUUCAUUCAUUUAUUCUUGAAAUAAAUAUCAAGUAGAAUCUCUGAACUAAAAGAAACUUCUAUGUUGCAAAGCUUUUCUUUUUUCCAAAUAAUGUAACAGUUUAGAAAACUUGAGAGGUGGGGAAAUGUGCUUUCAUUCAGUUCUAUGUUUUUCUGGAACAGAGCAAUAAAAGUAAGAUUGACAUCUCGCUGACUGUUUAACUGCCAACAUUGCCACCUGCUAUCCUGAGGCAAUAAGCAGCCUUAUUGGCACCCUCGUGCCUGGAGAGAAAACCAAAAGAUGAUGAAUAGCCAGUCCCUAAAAUCAAACGUCAUGCACAGCAGUGGCUGGCACAAGAUGAAGUGCUUGCUAAGGAAAUAGAAUGGUGAAUUGAAGCUCUCAGACCAUUGAUCAAACUUGUUUGUAGCCAGCCUUCAGUGUUUUGUUUCUGGCUGCUAGAAUCUCACUACCCUUCUUGGUCUAAAGGAAGCCAAAGACCCUUCAUCUGUUUAUACAGACCAUAUGUAACUACAAACAGAACUGUACAAAGUUGUCCCUUUGGAGUCCAGGCAUUCAUGUACUUCCCCCAUAUGUAAGCCAAGAAAUGAAUGCAUUCACUGUUUUUUAUUCCCCUGUGAGAUCUUGCUACAGAUUUACUAGUGGUAUGACUUAACCUGUAUUUCCAACCUACAUAUGGAAGAAAGUAAUAAAGCAAGUAGAUAGUGUUAUUGUUCACAGAAAAUGAGACCUUUCUGACUCCAUUCAUGGAUGGAUAAAGACCUCUCCAUAGACUCAUCAAUUUCACUUUACAGACGUACCUGGAAAUUGAUUAGCCCUUGGAGUGGGGAGCUGCACCUUGCAAGGUACACCUCAGAAGAAGUGGGAAAUUUUAGUAUUCAUAGUUGUUAAUGACAACAAGCUAAUACUAGUAAGAGAGAAUGUGUCAUCAUGCCUGUGAUUGGCAGAAUUCUAAGAUGAGCCCCAAAUGACUCGUGCUUGUGUAGUCUCCUUCCCUUGAGCAUGGAUGGAUGAAAAUAUGAUGAGCUAUCACUCCUCUGAUUAUGUUAUAUUAUAUAGCAAAAUAGAUUUCUGAAGAGAUAAGAUUACUAAUUUUAAUGAUGGAGUUUAAUCACUGUAAACUUUGAUUUUAAUUACUGAAGAUUUUGUAGAUGUACUUAAAUUUACUGAUCAACUGCCUUUGAGUUAAUCAAAACAGAGAUGAUCUGGGUGGGUCUGACCUGAUCACCCGAGUCCUGUAAAUUUGACUCUAGAGGUCAAGGACAGAAGUCAGAAAUUGGAAGCAGCAGAGACCUUUUCUUGUUAGCCCUAAAUGGGCACCUGCCAUGUUGAGAGAGAGCCAACAUGUUGGGGAAUGGCAGAUAUCCUCUAGGAGCUCCUUCACAUUAAUCAAGAAGGGGCCUCCUAGACAUCAGUCAAGAACACAGGGACUUCAGUGUUACAAUCUCCGAACUGAAUUCUGGCAACACUCUGAAUGAGCCUGGAAAAGAACCACAAGCUUCAGGUGAGGCAGCAUCCCAAGGCAACACCUUGAUUUCAGCUAUGUGAGACUCUGAGCAGAGAACUCAGCUGCGUGGUGCUAGAUUCCUGACCCAUGGAAAUGGUGAGAUUAUAAAUAAGUGUUGUUUUACAGAUUGUGGCCAAUUGUCACACAGCAAUAGAAAUUAAUCCACAGUCCUAAAAACAAUUAUUUAAUGGGCAAUUUUAAAUAAUUUUUAUGAAGUGGCCAAGAAUAAACAUAUCUUUCAUAUGCUUCUCAUGGCAUUGUAAUUUCUCCUGUUAUGAAAUCAGCUUCAUGAGGUCUGGGAAUUUGCAUGUUUUUUUCAUUGUUGUAUCUUCAUGGCCAACAAUAGUGCCUGCACAUGGUA